rnacentral:rRNA from 1 species
AUAYCCUAUUAUUUUUAAUGUAAAUUUUUAACUUGAGUAUUAUUAGUUAUAAUCUUUAAACUUAAAGAAUUUGGCGGUAUUAUAUCUAUUUAGAGGAAUCUGUCACAUAAUCGAUAAUCCACGUUAUACCUUACUUAUAUUAAUUUUUGUAUAUCGCUGUUUUUGAAUAUAUUUUUAGAUUAUUUUCUAAAUAUUAAAUUUUUUAGUAUUUCAAGUCAAGGUGCAGUAAAUAUAUAAGUUAGUGAUGGAUUACAAUAAUUUAUAUUUAUAUGGAUUUUUAUUGAAAUAUAUUUUUGAAGGUGGAUUUAAUAGUAAUUUUAUAAAUAUUAUUAAAAUGAUUAAUAKYUCUAUAAUAUGUACACAUCGCCC